rnacentral:ribozyme from 1 species
UUUUUUUUUUUUUUUUUUUUUUUUUUUUUUUUGAACAGUUUAUUUGUUCAACAACGUUGAGUUUGGU